AUACGUAGGGGACGAGCGUUGUCCGGAAUUACUGGGCGUAAAGGGCGCGCAGGCGGAUAUUUAAGUCCGCUGUAAAAGGCAUGCGCUCAACUCAUGUAUGCGGUUGAAACUGGGUAUCUAGAGUGCUGGAGUGGUAGGCGGAAUUCCCGGUGUAGCGGGGAACAGCGUAGAUAUCGGGAAGAACACCAGUGGCGAAGGCGGCUUACUGGCCAGCAACUGACGCUGAGGCGCGAAAGCCAGGGGAGCGAACGGGAUUAGAUACCCCGGUAGUCCUGGCCGUAAACGAUGAAUGCUAGGUGUGGGUGUCGAGAGGCAUCCGUGCCGGAGUUAACGCGAUAAGCAUUCCGCCUGGGGAGUACGAUCGCAAGAUUGAAACUCAAAUGAAUUGGCGGGG
rnacentral:rRNA from 1 species